rnacentral:rRNA from 1 species
CAGUAGCCACGGUAAUACGUAGGGUGCGAGCGUUAAUCGGAAUUACUGGGCGUAAAGCGUGCGCAGGCGGUUGUGUAAGACAGGUGUGAAAUCCCCGGGCUUAACCUGGGAACUGCGCUUGUGACUGCACAGCUAGAGUAUGGCAGAGGGGGGUGGAAUUCCACGUGUAGCAGUGAAAUGCGUAGGGAUGUGGAGGAACACCGAUGGCGAAGGCAGCCCCCUGGGCCAAUACUGACGCUCAUGCACGAAAGCGUGGGGAGCAAACAGGAUUAGAUACCCCCGUAGUCCCUGUCUCUUAUAC